rnacentral:lncRNA from 10 species
AUGAACACUCGCGGCGUGCUGCAAAAGGAUCUGAUUAAAGAACUUAGAGAAAUUCAUAUAUGUGAAAUUGAUUUCCAUGGAAACCUAGUCACGCUCUGAUGACAGUUGUGAUGGCGUCGCUGCCGAUAAUUUUGCAAACAUAAGGCUUCCCAGUGAGUCUGAGAAGGCUGUAGGACCCGCACCCAGUGCAGACACUCAACCUCUCAGGGUGGUGAUGAAGCUUCCAGCGCGAAAUACCAAGGGAGCAGCCAACAAAAAAGCAGAGCCCCCUCCCCGAACCCUCAGAGAAUUCUGGAACCAAUUCCAGUUCCGAUUCAGAAGAUAAAGGUGGCAUGAAUUUUUUUGGAGAAAAAGGCUUUCAGUAUAAAGCAAAACAAAGCAAUGCCUGGAAAACGCAUGUCAGAGUGAGAAAGCUUCCCUGGCUUGUUCCUUAGAAGACGUUCCCUCCCAGGCUCCAACUCACAAUCAAGGACAUCCCCAAGGCGUACAUUCCCGGAUGUUGCUUCCAGGAGAAACCCUGAACAGAGUGCUCCUCUUCUCACCAAGUCCCCUGGUCCCUUGGCGCUCUACUCAUGGAGGAGGAGUAAGAAGAGGAAGAAGAAGAGGAUAAGGACACGUUGGUGAGAAGGAGCAAGACAGUGGAUGGCUGCAUGAAGGAAGAUGACACGCCCAGAAUUCGCCGCUCCAGCUCAUCCAUGACCCUUCUGCAUAUAAUCCACCCAGGGGAAGAAAUCACAGAGGAAGGGUUGGAGGCCAACUGCAGCAACUCUCCAAAGAAGAUAUAUAACGAUUCCCUGGGCUCUACUUGUUAUCAAUGGUGUCAGAAAACUAUUGCUACCAAAACAAACUGCAGAAACCCAGACUGCUAGGGCAUUCAAGGCUAAGUCUGCGGCUCCUGCCUUCCAAACUCUUAUGCUGAAGAGGUCAGGCAUGCUCUAGUGGCAUUGCCCACCUUGUUGAGAAAUCUACAACUGCAGUUUCUGCCGGCAGCAAGACUGACGGUGUGCAACUGAUAUCCUGGUGUAUUUCGCCAAAUAUCCUGGCCCUGGGAAUGUGCACGCUUACUUGAAAAGUCUGAAAGAGGAAUUUGAAAUGCAAGCAUAA